CCUACGGGCGUCAGCAGUGGGGGAUAUUGGACAAUGGCGGAAACCCUGAUCCAGCGACGCCGCGUGAGUGAAGAAGUAGUUCGGUGUGGAAGGCUCUAUCAGCAGGGAAGAAAGAAAUGACGGUCCCUGAGUAAGAAGCCCCGGCUAACGACGUGCCAGCAGCCGCGGUAAUCCGGAGGGCGCAAGCGUUAUCCGGAAUUACGGGUUGUAAAGGGAGCGUAGGCGGGAAUGCAAGGCUGGAGGGAAAGGCGGGGGCCGAACCCCCGGAGUGCCGUGGAAACUGUGUGCCUUGAGUGCAGGAGAGGCAGGCGGAAUGCCUAGUGUAGCGGUGAAAUGCAUAGAUAUUAGGCGGAACACCAGUGGCGAAGGCGGCGUGCUGGACUGUAACUGACGUUGAGGCUCGAAAGCGUGGGGAGCAAACAGGAUUAGAUACCCGUGUAGUC
rnacentral:rRNA from 1 species